AGGACGAACGCUGGCGGCGUGCUUAACACAUGCAAGUCGAACGGAAAGGCCCUGCUUUUGUGGGGUGCUCGAGUGGCGAACGGGUGAGUAACACGUGAGUAACCUGCCCUUGACUUUGGGAUAACUUCAGGAAACUGGGGCUAAUACCGGAUAGGAGCUCCUGCUGCAUGGUGGGGGUUGGAAAGUUUCGGCGGUUGGGGAUGGACUCGCGGCUUAUCAGCUUGUUGGUGGGGUAGUGGCUUACCAAGGCUUUGACGGGUAGCCGGCCUGAGAGGGUGACCGGCCACAUUGGGACUGAGAUACGGCCCAGACUCCUACGGGAGGCAGCAGUGGGGAAUAUUGCACAAUGGGCGGAAGCCUGAUGCAGCAACGCGCGUGCGGGAUGACGGCCUUGGGUUAGUAACCGCUUUCGCCUGUCGACGAGCGUGAGUGACGGUAAUGGUAAAGAGCACCGGACUAACACGUGCCAGCAGCCGAC
rnacentral:rRNA from 1 species